GUUUUUUUAUUUUCUUUAUAUAUGGUUUUGGGGUUGGGUGUUAAUCAGAUUUAAUUUUAGUGUGUCGCAAAGACAAAGAAGUGGUGUGGCUCACGUUAUAAUGUCAAACAAACUAUCCUUUUACCUCAUACAUGUAUUUUCAAAAAUACACAAAAUUUAUAGAAAUCAUUGCCUGCUUCUAAACUUGAUGUCUGUGUAAUAAAGCUCUAAACUAAGAAAAUAAUAGAGCAAUAAGAUUCAGCCAAAGUAAGUAAAAUUCAGUUUAACUAUUAUGUAGACAAGUGAAAUGUUUCAAGUUACAUUUUGUUUCUUUCUAAUCGUUUUUUGUUUUAGCCCUUGCAAUUUUUUUUUCUUCUCGAAUUCUUUAUUACAUGGUUUUUGUAUGUAUUUUCACACUUGAUUUUAUCCAAGUUAUGGUAACAAUUAUAUUAUUGCAUCAGAUAUUUCAUGUUUUCAAUAGUGUUAUAGUGUGCUGUUUGCUUGUUUAACUGGUUACAAUUUUAGUUAUAAAGUAUAAAGUAAAUGGUCAAUGCAAAUAAGAAUUAUGAAUGUCACUCCAGCGAUCAUUUUGUAAGCUACUUAGUAGUUAGAUGUGAAGCUUUUUAAUAUUUUGUUUUUCUUUUCUUAUUUUCUUUUCCCUUUAAUCAUUUCAUGUUUAGUGCAAUAAAAGACAAAGCGGAGGUCUUGCUUUUAUCAAGUAAAUAUUAAACUAACAGUUUAUAAAUGAGAAUGUCUUUACAUUGUGCAACGAGAAAUCAAUUGUUUUUUGUUUUUUUUAUUGAAGUUUAAUGUUUGGCUUGCUUCUUUGCUAACAUUUGUUUUAGUAGUUCGUUAAAAUAUUUGACAAAAAAGCGAUAAAUUUAUAUACUGCAGAUAUUUUAAAUAAAUGUUUUUUCUCCUUAACUUUCAAAUUAUGGAAUCAUUAGACGGGAUCGAUCUGCAAAUGUAAGUUUAAUAAAAUGUUUCAAAGUACUUUUUGUUUUAUGCUAUUUGUUUUUGGUUUGGCGCUGUCAAUAUUUCAGUUUUAGCUCUAUGUGUCUUUGGCGUGGCUCUUUGUUUUACCUCAAGCGAAGGUAACAGAUUCAAAUUCGCAUCUGUUGAUUUAAGUUUUUAAUCCUAUUGAGGUGUGUUGCUUCUUCGCUUUAAUAGUUUCAAUUUUAGCUAUAAAGUAUAAGAUAAAGACUAGCUAUAGCUAUAAAGUAUAGGUGUAAAAUAUGGAAAAGAAACAUUAAACUCACUGAUUGCCAAAAUUUAGCAGUUUACAAACAUAGAACAGAGGUCUAGUGCACAUAUCGUGGUUUGUAAGCUAUUCACUUGAGGUCUUUAUAAAGCAAUGCAUGAUUUUCAAUUCUUGUACUACAAGUAUUAAAAGUAAUGAUUUCAAACAAUGUUUAUCUGUUUUGUUUUUUGCUAACAAUUUUAUUAUUAGCCCGAAGAACACUCUUAUUCAAAAAACCAAGUUCAAUCAUUGUGAACAGAAUAAACGAUCAGCUUUUAGUAAAGUACUUUCUUUUACCUAAAUCUUGUUUUUAAUGUCAAAUUAUAGACUGUCAAAGAGCAAAAUUGUAAAUGUUGUAUUUGCCGAUUCAAAAUGCUGUUUAUUUAGGUUUUAGGUUAAAGUUUUUUUGUAUUAGUGCAAUUUUAAAGUAAUGGUCUCCUGUAUAAGGCUAUUAAUACGUUUACAGUUAGAUGAAUGUUCUGUUUUACUGUUUCCUAAAAUGUGCAGUAAGACUGUUUUGCGUGUAUGAUCCAAACGCAGUUUGUUUCAUUUAAGUGCGUCUUCCUACAUGCUAAUGUGUCGCAAAGACAAAGAAGUGGUGUGGCUCACGUUAUAAUGUCAAACAAACUAUCCUUUUACCUCAUACAUGUAUUUUCAAAAAUACACAAAAUUUAUAGAAAUCAUUGCCUGCUUCUAAACUUGAUGUCUGUGUAAUAAAGCUCUAAACUAAGAAAAUAAUAGAGCAAUAAGAUUCAGCCAAAGUAAGUAAAAUUCAGUUUAACUAUUAUGUAGACAAGUGAAAUGUUUCUAGUUACAUUUUGUUUCUU